rnacentral:rRNA from 1 species
UAGAGUUUUAUCCUGGCUCAGAUUGAACGCUGGCGGCAGGCCUAACACAUGCAAGUCGAGCGGUAGAGAGAAGCUUGCUUCUCUUGAGAGCGGCGGACGGGUGAGUAAUGCCUAGGAAUCUGCCUGGUAGUGGGGGAUAACGUUCGGAAACGGACGCUAAUACCGCAUACGUCCUACGGGAGAAAGCAGGGGACCUUCGGGCCUUGCGCUAUCAGAUGAGCCUAGGUCGGAUUAGCUAGUUGGUGAGGUAAUGGCUCACCAAGGCGACGAUCCGUAACUGGUCUGAGAGGAUGAUCAGUCACACUGGAACUGAGACACGGUCCAGACUCCUACGGGAGGCAGCAGUGGGGAAUAUUGGACAAUGGGCGAAAGCCUGAUCCAGCCAUGCCGCGUGUGUGAAGAAGGUCUUCGGAUUGUAAAGCACUUUAAGUUGGGAGGAAGGGUUGUAGAUUAAUACUCUGCAAUUUUGACGUUACCGACAGAAUAAGCACCGGCUAACUCUGUGCCAGCAGCCGCGGUAAUACAGAGGGUGCAAGCGUUAAUCGGAAUUACUGGGCGUAAAGCGCGCGUAGGUGGUUUGUUAAGUUGGAUGUGAAAUCCCCGGGCUCAACCUGGGAACUGCAUUCAAAACUGACUGACUAGAGUAUGGUAGAGGGUGGUGGAAUUUCCUGUGUAGCGGUGAAAUGCGUAGAUAUAGGAAGGAACACCAGUGGCGAAGGCGACCACCGGACUAAUACGACACGAGGGCGAAAGCUUGAGCCACCC